AGAGUUUGAUCCUGGCUCAGGACGAACGCUGGCGGCGCGCCUAACACAUGCAAGUCGAACGAGCGAGAGAGAGCUUGCUUUCUCGAGCGAGUGGCGAACGGGUGAGUAACGCGUGAGGAACCUGCCUCAAAGAGGGGGACAACAGUUGGAAACGACUGCUAAUACCGCAUAAGCCCACGACCCGGCAUCGGGUAGAGGGAAAAGGAGAAAUCCGCUUUGAGAUGGCCUCGCGUCCGAUUAGCUAGUUGGUGAGGUAACGGCCCACCAAGGCGACGAUCGGUAGCCGGACUGAGAGGUUGAACGGCCACAUUGGGACUGAGACACGGCCCAGACUCCUACGGGAGGCAGAA
rnacentral:rRNA from 1 species